GGCCGUGUGGCUCAAUGGCAGAGCGUCUGACUACGAUGUGUGUCAUCUUAGAUGGCAUCUGAGCGCAAUCAGAAGGUCGCAGGUUCGACCCCUGUCUCGGUCA